UGCAGAUGUAUUUGCAAGCGGUACUUUUACGCCAAUGGUCGGGGCACAGCAACACAAAGUGCAAGGUUCUUCCACUGGUCAACUGAUGUCCAAUGCCCACUUGCAGCCCGCCCAGCAACAUCAUGGAAGGGGAACGGCAGGACAAGGUUGCUCGUCAGUAACGUCUGCUCCUUCUGUUGCCACUGCUCACGCAUGGCCACGUGAAACGAUGAUGGAGGAGUAUGGUAAUU